CCUACGGGGGGCAGCAGUGAGGAAUAUUGGUCAAUGGGCGUAAGCCUGAACCAGCCAAGUCGCGUGAGGGAUGACGGUUCUAUGGAUCGUAAACCUCUUUUAUAAGGGAAUAAAGUGUGGGACGUGUCCUAUUUUGUAUGUACCUUAUGAAUAAGGAUCGGCUAACUCCGUGCCAGCAGCCGCGGUAAUACGGAGGAUCCGAGCGUUAUCCGGAUUUAUUGGGUUUAAAGGGUGCGUAGGCGGCCUUUUAAGUCAGCGGUGAAAGUCUGUGGCUCAACCAUAGAAUUGCCGUUGAAACUGGGGGGGUUUGAGGAGGUUUGGGGCAGGGGGAAUGCGUGGUGGAGCGGUGAAAUGCUUAGAUAUCACGCAGAACCCCGAUUGCGAAGGCAGCCUGCCAAGCCAUGACUGACGCUGAUGCACGAAAGCGUGGGGAUCAAACAGGAUUAGAUACCCUAGUAGUC
rnacentral:rRNA from 1 species